rnacentral:rRNA from 1 species
AUACGGAGGGUGCAAGCGUUACUCGGAAUCACUGGGCGUAAAGGGUGUGUAGGCGGUGUAUUAAGUCAGUGGUGAAAGCCUGCGGCUCAACCGUAGAACUGCCAUUGAUACUGACACACUUGAGUUUGGUUGAGGUAGGCGGAAUUUAUGGUGUAGCGGUGAAAUGCAUAGAUACCAUAAAGAACACCGAUAGCGAAGGCAGCUUACUAAGCCGAAACUGACGCUGAGGCACGAAAGCGUGGGGAGCGAACAGGAUUAGAUACCCCAGUAGUCC